GGAGGGGUGGCAGAGCGGUUGAAUGCGGCAGUCUCGAAAACUGUUUCACCUGCAAGGGUGACGGGGGUUCGAAUCCCCCCUCCUCCG
rnacentral:tRNA from 1 species